GGAGGAGAGUCUGAAAGUCAGAGCAGAAACCAAACUGGACAUCAACCUGGAGCGAAGCCGGACGUCGGACAUCUUUACUGAUCAGGAGAAGAAGCUGAUGGAGGCGAGCACGGAGUUUCAUCACAAGAAAGCCGACCUGGAAAACGACAACAUGGAGAUCAACAAGAAGAUCGACCUGCAGGUGGCGUCGCUCAAAACUGUCCUGGAGUCACACAAACUGGAGACGAUCCGCUACGUAGCAGCGACGUUGUUCUCGUGUCUCGCCGUCGCUCUCGGAGUCUACCGGCUGUGGAAGUGAAUCAUCACUCCGCUCGUCUUCAUCCGCCACACAAAGUAGUUCCUUUCAAAUCUGUUCAAACAUCCUUUAUCCUUCCUUCCUUCCUUCCUUCCUCCCUCCUUUCCUUUCCUCC